rnacentral:rRNA from 1 species
UACGUAGGGGGCAAGCGUUAUCCGGAUUUACUGGGUGUAAAGGGAGCGUAGGCGGCGAUGCAAGUCAGAAGUGAAAGCCCGGGGCUCAACUCCGGGACUGCUUUUGAAACUGUAUGGCUAGAUUGCAGGAGAGGCAAGUGGAAUUCCUAGUGUAGCGGUGAAAUGCGUAGAUAUUAGGAGGAACACCAGUGGCGAAGGCGGCUUGCUGGACAGUAACUGACGCUGAGGCGCGAAAGCGUGGGGAGCAAACAGG